AGAAAAAGUAUGGCAGCGCGCAGAAACUACCCAUCAUCGGAUUACUUUCGAUUUCUAGAGAGUGUUUAACUCAAUUAUUCUGAUGAAUGGACAAUGACUCAACACACCUCCAGGCUGUGUAAGAGCUAUUUUACCGAGGAGGAGAAUGAUGGAGUGCUGCAUCAGAUGACCUGGCCUCCACAAUCCCCGACCUCAACCAAAUUGAGAUGGUUUGGGAUGAGUCGGAACGCAGAAUGAAGGAAAAGCAGCCAACAAGUGCUCAGCAUUUGUGGGAAUCCUUCAAGACUGUUGGAAAAGCAUUCCAGGUGAAGCUGGUUGAGAGAAUGCCAAGAGUGUACAAAGCUGUCAUCAAGGCAAAGGAUGGCUAUUUGAAGAAUCUUAAAAAUAAAGUAUACUUAAAGUAUACUUAAAUAUAAAGUAACACUUUUUUGGUUA